rnacentral:rRNA from 1 species
AGUCUGAUGGAGCAACGCCGCGUGAGUGAAGAAGGGUUUCGGCUCGUAAAGCUCUGUUGGUAGUGAAGAAAGAUAGAGGCAGUAACUGGCCUUUAUUUGACGGUAAUUACUUAGAAAGUCACGGCUAACUACGUGCCAGCAGCCGCGGUAAUACGUAGGUGGCAAGCGUUGUCCGGAUUUAUUGGGCGUAAAGCGAGUGCAGGCGGUUCAAUAAGUCUGAUGUGAAAGCCUUCGGCUCAACCGGAGAAUUGCAUCAGAAACUGUUGAACUUGAGUGCAGAAGAGGAGAGUGGAACUCCAUGUGUAGCGGUGGAAUGCGUAGAUAUAUGGAAGAACACCAGUGGCGAAGGCGGCUCUCUGGUCUGCAACUGACGCUGAGGCUCGAAAGCAUGGGUAGCGAACAGGAUUAGAUACCCUGGUAGUCCAUGCCGUAAACGAUGAGUGCUAAGUGUUGGGAGGUUUCCGCCUCUCAGUGCUGCAGCUAACGCAUUAAGCACUCCGCCUGGGGAGUACGACCGCAAGGUUGGAACUCAAAGGAAUUGACGGGGGCCCGCACAAGCGGUGGAGCAUGUGGUUUAAUUCGAAGCAACGCGAAGAACCUUAGCAGGUCUUGACAUCCAGUGCGAACCUAAGAGAUUACGAGU